UACAGAGGUCUCGAGCGUUGUUCGGAUUCAUUGGGCGUAAAGGGUGCGUAGGUGGCGCUGUAAGUCGGGUGUGAAAUCCUGAGGCUUAACCUCGGAACUGCAUUCGAUACUGCGGCGCUUGAGGACUGGAGAGGAGACUGGAAUUCAUGGUGUAGCAGUGAAAUGCGUAGAGAUCGGGAGGAACACCCGUGGCGAAGGCGGCCAUCUGGACCAGCACUGACGCUGAGGCACGAAAGCGUGGGGAGCAAACAGG
rnacentral:rRNA from 1 species